GACGAACGCUGGCGGCGUGCCUAACACAUGCAAGUCGAGCGGACAGAUGGGAGCUUGCUCCCUGAAGUCAGCGGCGGACGGGUGAGUAACACGUGGGCAACCUGCCUGUAAGACUGGGAUAACUUCGGGAAACCGGAGCUAAUACCGGAUACGUUCUUUUCUCGCAUGAGAGAAGAUGGAAAGAUGGUUUCGGCUAUCACUUACAGAUGGGCCCGCGGCGCAUUAGCUAGUUGGUGAGGUAAUGGCUCACCAAGGCGACGAUGCGUAGCCGACCUGGGAGGGUGAUCGGCCACACUGGGACUGAGACACGGCCCAGACUCCUACGGGAGGCAGCAGUAGGGAAUCUUCCGCAAUGGACGAAAGUCUGACGGAGCAACGCCGCGUGAACGAUGAAGGCCUUCGGGUCGUAAAGUUCUGUUGUUAGGGAAGAACAAGUACCAGAGUAACUGCUGGUACCUUGACGGUACCUAACCAGAAAGCCACGGCUAACUACGUGCCAGCCGCCGCAGUAAAAC
rnacentral:rRNA from 1 species